GACGAACGCUGGCGGCGUGCUUAACACAUGCAAGUCGAACGGAAAGGCCCUGCUUUUGUGGGGUGCUCGAGCGGCGAACGGGUGAGUAACACGUGAGUAACCUGCCCUUGACUUUGGGAUAACUUCAGGAAACUGGGGCUAAUACCGGAUAGGAGCUCCUGCUGCAUGGUGGGGGUUGGAAAGUUUCGGCGGUUGGGGAUGGACUCGCGGCUCAUCAGCUUGUUGGUGGGGUAGUGGCUUACCAAGGCUUUGACGGGUAGCCGGCCUGAGAGGGUGACCGGCCACAUUGGGACUGAGAUACGGCCCAGACUCCUACGGGAGGCAGCAGUGGGGAAUAUUGCACAAUGGGCGGAAGCCUGAUGCAGCAACGCCGCGUGCGGGAUGACGGCCUUCGGGUUGUAAACCGCUUUCGCCUGUGACGAAGCGUGAGUGACGGUAAUGGGUAAAGAAGCACCGGCUAACUACGUG
rnacentral:rRNA from 1 species